UGGAAUUAGAUUUUUAACCUCUAUUUUAAGUAGAAAAAAUGUAUCUCUAUAGACUACUUAAUAGGUAAUUUUAGGAAGUGAUUAAAAAUUAUUACAUAAUUUUAUGCAUUUAUGAAGUUCGUGUAUCUUUUUUUAGAAUACAGGGAGUUUAGGAGCCUGGACAGCUGGUGAAGGUGAUGGAAGGCGUGGCCCACACCAGCACUGGUCUGGAAUUUCCGCUUUGCAUAU
rnacentral:lncRNA from 1 species